GUUGAAACACCAAUUCCUGUACAAUCACCGAAGUUAAGCAAUAUAGAGCCUGGUCAGUACCUAGAUGCAUGACUACUUGGGAAUGGCAAGUACUGUAAG